AUUGAACGCUGGCGGUAUGCUUAACACAUGCAAGUCGAACGGUAGCAGGCCUUCGGGCGCUGACGAGUGGCGGACGGGUGAGUAACGCGUAGGAAUCUGCCUCAUAGUGGGGGACAACGUGUGGAAACGCACGCUAAUACCGCAUACGCCCUACGGGGGAAAGCGGGGGACCUUCGGGCCUCGCGCUAUGAGAUGAGCCUGAGUUAGAUUAGCUAGUUGGUAGGGUAAAGGCCUACCAAGGCGACGAUCUAUAGCUGGUCUGAGAGGACGAUCAGCCACACUGGGACGUGGACACGGCCCAGACUCCUACGGUAGGCAGCAGUGGGGAAUAUUUGACAAUGGGCGCAAGCCUGAUCCAGCAAUACCGCGUGUGUGAAGAAGGCCCUAGGGCUGUAAAGCACUUUCAAUAGGGAGGAAAACCUGUCGGUCAAUACCCGGCAGCUUGACAUUACCUAUACAAGAAGCACCGGCUAACUCCGUGCCAGCCGCCGCAGUAAGAC
rnacentral:rRNA from 1 species